GCUUCUGUUUCCUGGAAGAGAUAUGAGAGAAUUUCUUCCUUGAAUAUUUCACCAGUGUAACCACCUGCCCCUUUGUUAGAUGAAGAAAGGAAGAGGAAAGAAGGAAGUGUGCAAAGCUAGACCCUUUCCCUACACAGAAAAGAAGGAAAGAAGAAAGCAUAGUUUCCAUUGCCAUGUAUCAGGAGUCCUCUGUGGCCUCAAGAGGAGAUGUGUGCAGAGAGCAGGCCCUAAGGAUUUCUGAGAAGAAUUCAUGUACCUUUCCGAAGGAUA